rnacentral:lncRNA from 1 species
AGGAAGACACUGUAGAUGACCAGGGUUAGUCAUCUUAAGAAAAUGUUGUAUAAAGUAGGGGACAAGCUGGAAGGUCAAGGAGAAACUCGGUCCCAAAAGGACAAACUGGAUGUCAUGAAGACAAACUGGAACCUGCAUCUGUGAUUCCCUGCAUGCAAUCCCAGUGAAGUGGACAAUGCAUGGGAGGGGCUGGAGCUUUCACCAUGAGGCUAUAGGCCCAUCUGGACCAAAUCUUGGAGAAGCUGAAGAAGGAGACGGGUGAAAUCUGCAGCCUAGGCAUCAAAUUGGAACUGCAGCUGCCGACUGACACCACAGCCACAACAGUGCAGGAUCUGAGUUGCAUUUGCGAUCUAUACUACAGCUCAUAGCAAUGCUGGAUCCUUAACUCACUGAGCAAGGCCAGGGAUUGAACCCAUAUCCUCAUAGAUACAGGUAUUGAAAAGAUACACCAAAAUGUUGAUCUUAUCCAAGUGCAAAAUGCAGAAUCAGAAUUGGUGUUCUCUGGAAAAAGACAAAAGUCAAGCCUUGGUAUAAAUUUGGAAAAACACAUUCUUUUUUCUUAAUGGAAGCUAUGGCAGAACCCCGGAAUCAUACACUCAAGGCUGUGGAGAGCACCUUGUGGAUUCCCGUGAGGUUGACUUUCCUUUGGGUGCAGCCAUCAGGCGGUGCAGGCAGGAGACCCGAGGAGGAUGGAAGGACACGAAGGUCUCCCUGUGCCUCUCGCUACUCUGCCAGGCUCGCCAUUGGCGGCGAUGAUUCCUCCGCUGAGGCUCGUGAUGCUUCUCAGGAAGCCCGCUGAAACAGACGGUCUUAGAAACUGCAUCCUGUACCGUCCCCUUCAAGUCAAGUGAUUACCGUCUCCUCUUUUCCAACAGUAGGUUUUGCCUCAUAGUAUCCAAAGUCCUGAUAGAGAAUAGCUACAUUUAGGGGGAUCUUACCUGAUGCCGGGGCACUCCCCUAAGGGAUUUUUUUUUUUUUCUUUCAACACUCACUGAAUUCCUACCAUAACCCUGCUUGUGGUAAACUAAGGCUUCAUGAAGUUCAUUGUCCCACAUUGUGAAUGGAACUGGCUUCUGGUAAGAGCACAGACUCUAGAAUCUGACUGCCUGGCUCUAAACGCUGCCCCUUCCACCUGUGAGCUCAUGGUCCUGAGCACAUUUCUAUUGGUCAGUCUCCUCACCUAUAAAAGGGAUAAAAAUAGUACUUCAGAAGGUAGUUGUGAAGAUGAAAUGUGCUAAUAUAUGUAACACACUUGGAGAAUAUGGCUUAUAGGAGAUGCCUGUGUGUGUUUGCUAUCAAUAUAAAUCCAAAGCCCAUCCAUUUACUGCAUUAUACUCACCUCCUAUCAGAAAGCAUACACAUUUUCUUUAGAGUGGAAGAUCCCUGCCCAUCACUUUUAAAUAACCUGUAUGGUGUUCUCUAUUUUAUGCAGUGGAUUGGCUCUCAUUUAAACACAAUGCUUUUAUGUUUAAAAAGCAAAACAGGAUACUCUGUUAUUUUUUCAUUGCCAGAAAGGCAAGUAUAGAUAGUAUCACAGAAAAAGUUGUAGAAGCUCCCCUGUUGGUGUACUGAACGAAUUAUAGGAACACAGAUAAUCUUAAAGACUGGAAGGCCUCUGACCAUCUCAUUUACAUACAGAGAAACUUGGAAAUUUGGCUACAGUCUCACUGUUGUUCUAUUAUAAGAAAAAAAGGGGUUCUUUGUGGACAUUAGCGUGUUUAGGAUAUAGGUAAAAAUCUGCCUUGGAUGACAAGGAGAGUGAAGCUCAAAUUUGAAGAAACAGCCAUAGACUCUGUGUUCUUUAAAGGCAAAGGAAGCCAGCAAGCUGAAGAAAGCAUGUGAAGAACUGGGUCAAGCAGUUUCAGAUACAGAGAACCAUGGAGAAAUGUUCUGCCCACCACCUUCAGCUCUCCUUAUCUCUACUGUCACACCAAAACAACCCUGUGAUUAUGUAACAGACAAUUACUGAUACAGGAACCUAAAUUCCAUAUCUUGCCCUCUUAAUACAAGAUAGCAAAACAUAACUAUCUAAACCAAUUAAGAAAGAGUCUUGGAGUUCCCAUAGUGGCUCAGUGGUUAACGAACACGAUGAGUAUCCAGGAGGAUGCAGGUUUGAUCUCUGGGUUUGCUCAGUGGGUUAAGGAUCCAGCAUUGCCAUGAACUGUGGCGUAGGUCGCAGACUCAGCUCAGAUCCAGCAUUGCUGUAGCUGUGAUAUAGGCCAGCAGCUACAGCUCUGAUUUGAUCCCUAGCGUGGGAACCUCCAUAUGCCGCAGGUAUGGCCCUAAAAAGACAAAAAAGAAAAAAGAAAAGAGUCUUAAAAUUCAUCGUUAUUGUCUUAAAACUAUGGUUAACUAGAUAAACUCCCACAUUGUUCUUUAUUGUGUAUUAUGUAAACUGGUCUUCAGAACCAUUUCUGAACAAGUAGUUAAAUGAAGAAAAUCUGCUAGUGUUUUACUACUUUAUGUCUCUUAAAAUGCAAGUGUUCUUAGCAAAUAGAUAGCCGUCAUAGUGAUUAUCGAUCAUUUUUACCUUUAUUCCCACUUUGCUUAUUUAAACAUUCAUCCAGGCAAUUAUUCACUUGACACUCAGUGUGUCUGGCGCUUGCUAAGCAUCAAGUAUGCAAAGGCAGUUACGUAAGACUUGGUAGCUGUCUGCAAAAUGCCUACCAGCUGCAGACCUAGAGAUUAUUAUACUAAGUGAAGUAAGUUACUCAUAUGCAAAAUCUAAAAUAUGACAUAGAUGAACUUAUUUACAAAACAGAAACAGACUCACAGACAUAGAAAACAAACUUAAUGGUUAACAAAGAGGGAAGAGGGGGAGGGAUAAAUUAAGAGAUGGAGAUUCACAUAUAUACUCCUAUAUAUAAAAUAGAUAAUCAGCAAGAACCUACUGUAUAGCACAGGGAACUAUAGUCAAUAUCCUAUAAUAAACCAUCAUGGAAAAGAAAAAGAUAGUCACAGGCUAAAAAGGGGAACAAUUCCAAAACAAUAAGCAUGCUAAUAACUUAGGUGUGCCAGGACUGAAACGUCAUGGUCGGAAUGAGCAGGGCCAUAGAUAUAGAAACAUACAACUUCCCCUCAUGGUAAAGGCAAAGGCCUGGAGAGUUGACAAGUCACAGAGUAAACCUCAGGUAGGGAAGGCUGAAUGGGAGCAGAGUUCGACCGCAUGAAUUUGGAGUGCCAGCAUGACAUCUUGAUGGCAAUGUCAGGUCAGCUGCUGGACACAAGGGUUUAGAAUUCAGAAGGGAAUUCCAGCCUGGAUACUGGGGAGUUAAAAGCACCCAGGGAGGUCCUCAAACCAGGGGUGUGGAGAGAUUCUUCAGGGAGAGCUCUUCCUCAAGAGAACAUGGGGAGACAUCACCCAUGAGAGCCAAGACCAUAAAAAAUGUGUCUGUGUUGCCAGAACACCAUUAAAAUCCUUUCCUAAGAGCUAAUUUUGAAAGAGAAUAUGCAAUGGAAUACUACUCAGGCAUAAAAAAGAACAAAGCAAGGCCAUUUGCAGCAAAAAUGGAUGGCACUAAAGACUCUCAUACAAAGUGCAGUAAGUCAGAAAGAGAAAGAAAAAUACUGUAUGAUAUCACUUAUAGCUGGAAUCUAGUAUAUGGCCCAAAUAAAACUUUCCACAGAAAAGAAACUCAUGGACUUGGAGAACAGACUUGCGGUUGCCAAGGGGGAGGGGGAUGGACUGGGAAUCUGGGGUUAAUAGAUGCAAACUACUGCAUUUGGAAUGGAUAAGCAAUGAAAUCCUGCUGUAUAGCGCUGGGAACUGUAUCUAGUCACUUGUGAUGGAACAUGAUGGAGGAUAAUGUGAGAAAAAGACUGUAUACGUGUACGUGUGACAGGGUCACUUUUCUGUAGUAGAAAAUUGAGAGAACACUGUAUUCCAACUAUAAUGAAAAAAAUAAAAAUCAUUUUUUAAAAA